GUGUGUAACAGCUGAAGAAUGCCCUCUAGAGUGUAUCCGAUCGAGUCUUUUUCGCUUCGCGUUGAAUGUAUUUUCACACCGCGUGCCAAAAUUCUAUCCCGGAUAAACAGAUUAAUACGCGGUAACGACGCAUAUAUUAUCCGCAAUGAAUUUCGCUGCGGGAGGAGCGGCGGGAGGGAACCUUCGCUCGCGAGGAUCUCGACUCCUCCGUUCCCUUUUGACCAUCGUUGCUCUCGCGCCGUGUGUAUGUGUGUGUGUGCGCGUGUGUGUGUGUGUGUGUGUUGCCCCACCGUCCGCUUCAUUGUUCAGUCGGCCAAUCACGCCCACGGCUAAGGAGAGCUUGCGGCAUCGCGCGUGGCGCUCGUGCGUUCUCGCCCGACAGACGAGACGGCCCGAUUAGGCCGAAUUCGCACGAGUUCGCUACCGAGCAAGCGGCCGAGCGUUGCGAGCAACCGAAGGGGUGCCGAGGGGACCAGAGGGGGAGGGUGAAACGAUGCAAGAGAGGAGCGAGAGACGCGAGCACACGAUGGAGAGACGAAGAGAGGAAAGAAGAAUCCCGCGCGCGCGGUCCCCAGAGUCGAUUCCACCUACGAGGCGAAGUGCGCAGCGGGCGGAAAGAAUCGGAGCAUCUGUAGAUGACCCCCGGAAGCGAGCUGUCGAAGUGUCCAUUCGAUUUCCGCGUAUCCGCACGGGGAUUGCCAAGCGGCCCGUGAAAAGUAUGUUUUCGGUACCUUCCCCCGGCAUGUUCCCGUGAUUAAUCGAUCGGGGAACUGCCUCCUCCCCCCCCUUCCGCCGCAUACCGUUAAACAGCCACUAAAUCGUGGCACAUCGUAAGCUUCGCUUCGUAACGACGAAUUUAAAUCUCUCUACAAGUCUUUGAAAAUCUCUAGAAAAACCGUUUUAUCUAUUGGACAGCAUUCCAUCUAGGAAUCCGUUCGUACUCUGCAAAACUACAAGCUCAUGGCAAUAAGCUGACCGUUAAUCAAUUUCUUUAAAGUGAAAAGUAACGAUCUCGAAGUGAUAAUCGUGCCGUAAGAUUAUCGGCGUUUCAGAAACCGAUAGCGUUAAAACAUUAAAACGCGACGCCAGCGGCGGUCCGAUACAAAACUGGGGCAACGAUUAGGAGUGGGGCAGGAAAUCGCUAAUCGGGCUUAAUUAGCCAAGGUUCCCGGUGCAACUGGGAUCCUGUGAACGGUGAACCAGAUAUACUCCGUUAUCAUUAUCAUUGUAAGCGAACGCGAGCUGGGGUAUCCUACUGCCCGAUGCUGCGGCUCAGCUGGGAGCGGGAGGCGGCGUGAUCUGUCGCCCUCGGCGGCUACGUCCCAAGUGGCGAGACACGGCCAGCGGGUGGCGGUGCGCGGCAGGUGCAGCUGACGGCGCGGACAAGAGGGAGGGAGAGAGUGAAAGAAAGAGAGAGAGAGAGAGAGCGUGCUUUCGGCUCCUCCCGACGCGAGACGACGCGACACGAUCGUCGUCGCUCGACUGGACGGCGGGCGCGGAGUGUAUAUAAAUAGGCGGCACGUCGACCGACCGUCUGGUCUCUCACCGGUGUUACGCUAUUGCAUGCACGCCACUUCGUGCGGAUACGCGCGCGAGAGGGGUGGUUUUCUCGUAUCGACUCGCGCCGUGCCUCUGCAUUACCGACAAUGACGAUGACGACGAUGACGCUGAUGAUGAUGACGGUGACGACAAUGUAACGUGACGAUCGAGUCUUCGAUAGGAUAGGUAGCCCAUUGGUCCAGCGGGAAACUUCAGCGACCAACGGUUUGCCGCAGAGAGAGAGCGUCACAUCGAUCGCAAAACCAGAAGCUUCUCACGGAAUUCUCCAGCGCGUUCAUGAAAGGGUUGCGCUCAUUUCCCUCACAAAACAGCCAUCAAUCCCCCAUGAAAGUAAAAUAAAACAAUAUAUGAAAAUAAACUAAAUCAAUGUAUAUUUCUACGAAAUCUGGUAAUCAAUUUCAGAUUACUUAUAAAUUAUAUACUAA